rnacentral:tRNA from 1 species
GGAGGGGACAGCACAGUGGCAGCGCAUGUGCUUAGCAUGCACAAGGUCCUGGGUUCAAUCCCGAGUACCUCCA